GGACCCGCACAAGCGGUGGAGCAUGUGGUUUAAUUCGAUGCAACGCGAAAAACCUUACCUACUCUUGACAUACUUGGAAGCUCUUGUAAUGAGAGUGUGCCUUUUGGAACCAAGAUACAGGUGCUGCAUGGCUGUCGUCAGCUCGUGUCGUGAGAUGUUCCGUUAAGUCGGAUAACGAGCGCAACCCUUACCCUUAUUUGCCAGCGAUUCGGUCGGGAACUAUAAGGGGACUGCCGGUGAUAAACCGGAGGAAGGUGAGGACGACGUCAAGUCAUCAUGGCCCUUACGAGUAGGGCUACACACGUGCUACAAUGGGGAAUACAGACGGACGCUAAGCCGCGAGGUGGAGCAAAUCUCUUAAAGCUUGUCUCAGUUCGGAUAGGAGUCUGCAACUCGACUCCUUGAAGUUGGAGUC
rnacentral:rRNA from 1 species